GAUGAACGCUAGCGGCAGGCCUAACACAUGCAAGUCGAGGGGCAGCACAGGUAGCAAUACUGGGUGGCGACCGGCGGAUGGGUGCGUAACGCGUAUGCAACCUACCAUUGAUUGGGGCAUAGCCCGAAGAAAUUCGGAUUAAUACUCCAUAAUAUUCAUCAAAGGCAUCUUUUAUGAAUUAAAGCUUUUGCGAUCAAUGAUGGGCAUGCGUGACAUUAGUUAGUUGGUGAGGUAACGGCUCACCAAAACGAUGAUGUCUAGGGGUUCUGAGAGGAUUAUCCCCCACACUGGUACUGAGACACGGACCAGACUCCUACGGGAGGCAGCAGUGAGGAAUAUUGGUCAAUGGACGAGAGUCUGAACCAGCCAAGUCGCGUGAAGGAAGACGGUUCUAUGAAUUGUAAACUUCUUUUGUGCAGGAAUAAAGUGGGUUACGUGUAACCUUUGUAUGUACUGUACGAAUAAGGAUCGGCUAACUCCGUGCCAGC
rnacentral:rRNA from 1 species